rnacentral:rRNA from 1 species
GAUGAACGCUAGCGGCAGGCUUAAUACAUGCAAGUCGAGGGACAGCACAGGUAGCAAUACUGGGUGGUAACCGGCAAACGGGUGCGGAACACGUACACAACCUUCCUUUAAGUGGGGGAUAGCCCAGAGAAAUUUGGAUUAAUACCCCGUAAUAUAGUUGAAUGGCAUCAUUUGAUUAUUAUAGCUACGGCGCUUAAUGAUGGGUGUGCGGCUGAUUAGAUAGUUGGCGGGGUAACGGCCCACCAAGUCUACGAUCAGUAGCUGAUGUGAUGGCAUGGCCAGCCACACGGGUACUGAGACACGGGCCCGACUCCAACGGGAGGCAGCAGUGAGAAAUAUUGGUCAAUGGACGCAAGUCUGAACCAGCCAUGCCGCUUGAAGAAUUAAGGUCCUCUGGAUUGUAAACUUCUUUUAUUUGGGACGAAAAAGGGCCUUUCUAGGUCAACUGACGGUACCAGAUGAAUAAGCACCGGCUAACUCCGUGCCAGCAGCAGCCGCCGUAA